rnacentral:rRNA from 1 species
AGUGAACGCUGGCGGUAGGCCUAACACAUGCAAGUCGAACGGCAGCACAGUAAGAGCUUGCUCUUACGGGUGGCGAGUGGCGGACGGGUGAGGAAUACAUCGGAAUCUACUUUUUCGUGGGGGAUAACGUAGGGAAACUUACGCUAAUACCGCAUACGACCUACGGGUGAAAGCAGUGGAUCUUCGGACCUUGCGCGAUUGAAUGAGCCGAUGUCGGAUUAGCUAGUUGGCUGGGUAAAGUCCCACCAAGGCGACGAUCCGUAGCUGGUCUGAGAGGAUGAUCAGCCACACUGGAACUGAGACACGGUCCAGACUCCUACGGGAGGCAGCAGUGGGGAAUAUUGCACAAUGGGCGCAAGCCUGAUGCAGCCAUGCCGCGUGGGUGAAGAAGGUCUUCGGGUUGUAAAGCCCUUUUGUUGGGAAAGAAAAGCAGCAGGUUAAUCCCCCGAUGUUCUGACGGUACCCAAAGAAUAAGCACCGGCUAACUUCGUG